UACAGAGGGGGCAAGCGUUGUUCGGAAUUACUGGGCGUAAAGGGCGCGUAGGCGGCCCGCUAAGUCGAACGUGAAAUCCCCGAGCUCAACUCGGGAACUGCGUCCGAUACUGGUGGGCUUGAAUCCGGGAGAGGGAUGCGGAAUUCCAGGUGUAGCGGUGAAAUGCGUAGAUAUCUGGAGGAACACUGGUGGCGAAGGCGGCAUCCUGGACCGGCAUUGACGCUGAGGCGCGAAAGCUAGGGGAGCAAACAGG
rnacentral:rRNA from 1 species